GAUGAACGCUGGCGGCGUGCUUAACACAUGCAAGUCGAACGGAAAGGCCCAAGCUUGCUUGGGUACUCGAGUGGCGAACGGGUGAGUAACACGUGGGUGAUCUGCCCUGCACUUCGGGAUAAGCCUGGGAAACUGGGUCUAAUACCGGAUAGGGCCACAUUUUGGAUGGUGUGGUGGAAAGUUUUUCGGUGUGGGAUGAGCUCGCGGCCUAUCAGCUUGUUGGUGGGGUAAUGGCCUACCAAGGCGUCGACGGGUAGCCGGCCUGAGAGGGUGUACGGCCACAUUGGGACUGAGAUACGGCCCAGACUCCUACGGGAGGCAGCAGUGGGAAUAUUGCACAAUGGGCGCAAGCCUGAUGCAGCGACGCCGCGUGGGGGAUGACGGCCUUCGGGUUGUAAACUCCUUUCGCUAGGGACGAAGCGUUAUGUGACGGUACCUGGAGAAGAAGCACCGGCUAACUACGUG
rnacentral:rRNA from 1 species